AAAUAAAACUUUUCAAUAAUUAUAAAUACACAAAAAAUGUUCUUAUAAAAAUAUUUAACAUAUAAUUUCUAAAAUCUUAACAUCUAAAAGUUUCAAUCUACAUACAAAACAACAACCUAAAACAAAAUCUAACAACAUAUAACUCCUAAAACUAUCAAUUCUAUCCUAAAUCUUCAGAUUCAAAACCUAAAAUCCACAAUUCUAACAUUCCAACCUAAAAAAAUGUAAUCUAAAGAAGGGUUUAGAUGACUUACAUGAUUGGGGAGGAGAUUUGGAGGAUUUGGAGUCACAGUCACAGAUUUGUUAGAGAGAGAGAGAGAGGGGAGUAAGACCGCAAAGAUUGCGGAGGAGAAGAGAAAAAAUGAGGAAGAAGAAGAAGGAUCGGCUUAUGUAUUAAAAAUAAACCGACGGACAGUUUCCGUCGGAAUUUGGUCGGUUCUAUUUUAAAUGCUUAAUCAAAUAAAUUUCGCAAAUUUUCUUCCCGGGUAAAGUGAAAAAGUCCGACGAAAUUCCGACGAAACCUGUUCGUCACAUUUAUUUCGUCGGAAUUCCGUCGGAAUGUUUCGAGAAUAUCGCCAAAGGAAGCCUCGAGAAACUAUGAGUUUCUGCAUGUCUUUUGAUUGGUCGGGGUUAGAGUCUGUCGGAAUUUCGUCGGUAUUUUCUGUCGGAAUUUGGUCAAAAUUUUCGACGGAUUUCCGACGGAAUUUAGAGAAAUAAGAAUUUGGGGUUUCAAAACAACAGUCUAAUGAUCACAUAGAAAUCUUUGAUAGUAUGUAAAUGAUUUAUAAGAGGUUUAACUAAAAUAAUUACUUGUUUCACUCGAUAUUAUACAAAAUCAAAAUCUACUCUUAUAUUACCGUAAUAUGUUUGUAUAAGUAUAUAAGUGUUAUUGGAGAAUGUUACGAAUACGUUGAUAUGUAUACGUAAAUAAUUUUUUUAUAUGAAAAACUUUAACGGUGUGAACUAAUUUCAUAUUAUAAAUUUAUAUAUGUGUUAUUUGGAUAUUUUAAGUAUCAGAUUAUACAUUUAUAAUAACUUUGCAAAUUUAAAAUCUGUUUCGUCGUGGAAAAUUCCGACGACAUUCCGACGAAAGUCAAAAACCAGUCGGAUUUCCGUCAGAAUAUUUCGAUGGAAUUCCGACGAACUUCAAAUCCCUAUCGAAACCCCAAAAUUAUAAUAUUCUGUCAGAAUUUUGUCUGAUAUUUCCGACAAAAUACCGACGAACAUGAAAUUAUAUGUUUCGUCGGUGUCUCGUAGGAAUGUCGUCAAAGAAAACCGACGAAAAUAUUGUCCGUCGGAAUGUCCGUCAGAAUGUAUCGUGUUGUAGUGACUGAGAGUGAGAGUUAUAGGGAUUUUUGUAAUGAAGUGGGUCCCUCUAAAUUUAACAGAUAUAUCCAAAUAGAGAAGUAGGUUAUUGUUUGAAUGGGACCAUGGGCUCUAUUUAGGCAACUUGGGGGAAGACCUUGGAGUCUUUAAAAACAAAGGUGAUGAUUGUUUGGAUGGUUUUUAGUUUUUAGAUUUUGGUUUUUGGUUUUUAGAUUUUAGUUUUUAGAUUUUGGAUUUUAGUUUAUUGUUUUUGAUUUUGCAGUAGAUUUUAGUAUUUAGAAAAACAUGAAUAGUGAUUUUGGUUUUAAGAUUUUGGUUUUAAGAUUUUGGUUUUUGUUUAAAAAAUAAUAAAAAAAAAAAAAUUUGGUUUUGAUUUUGAUUUUGCUUGUAGUUUUAUUUUUUAAGAAAAAGUUGACUAAAGAUUUUUUAAUUUUAAUUUUUCAAUAUUUAACUAAUUAUUUUUGCUUGAAGUUGAAAUGAUAAUUAAUAACAAAAUAUUACUACACACAUUAAAUAGUACAUAACUGGUAGUUAGUUUACUAUUUAAACAUGUUAAAUAAAAUUUAAUAUAUUUUAUAUGUUUGCAAACUGUAUAAAAUUUAUGUUAUUCAAUGGUUAUAAAAUAAAACUUAAUAGCUGGAUAUACAAAAUUAAAUUCCAGUGUAGUAAAUAUAUAAUACUUAUAACUAACAAAUUUAAUAAACUCUGCUAUUAUAUUUAUGAUACAAAAUAUAGAUUAAGGUAUUAUGGAAUUAACUUACAUAAACAAAACUCAGUAACUUGAUUGGCAGAGAAACUUUUUGUGAGUUUUUGUCUGUUUUAUAAAAUGGUUGAAGUAAAUUUAUAUAUGAAAAUAAUUAACUUGUUAAUAGAAAAAACAAAGUGCACGUAAUCAAUAGUAGAAACCCACGAAUUAUGGAUUUUGGUUUCUAUGUGUGAAAUGGUAAAAGGGUUGAAAAACUGGUUUCCCUGAAAAAAUAGAUUUCCUAUUUUUUCAAAAUCUUGAUUGGAUAAAAAGUAGAUUUUAGAAAAUCAAAAACCAAAAUCUACUCUAGAAUCUGCAAACAAUCAACCAUAAAAUCACUUAGCACCCUUUUCUUCUUCUUUCUUAAAUACCUAAUCUACUGUGAGAACAAAUGACUAAUGGAGUGUACUUAUAUAGUUAUGUCUGUCUGCUUUUGUGUUCACUAUUGUUUUAGUCAAUUUUCCAUAGUCUUUUGUUUAGCAACAUGUAGUCUGAUCAAACACGUUUUUCUUUUGGAUUCUAACUUUGGAGUUUGGUUUCUAUCUUGUUACUUUGACUUUGAGAGCAUUGCUGUAUGCUAGUGUACCUAGUAACUACUACCUACUCGUAAACUAAGAUACCAGAAAUGCCGAAAACGUGAGGGAAUAACUAACUUUUUUGAAUGCAUGAUUUCCAAAACUUCGUAAAGUCGUUGAAUAUUUUAAAAUUUACGUACCAAAUUAAUAGUUUUUCAAUCUAAAUUUUAAAGACCUUCAGCGAAUCUUAGUAUCUUAAUUCUUAAAAGGCUGGACUAAUUAAACAAAAGCAAAGCCAAAGUAGAAGUCUUCUUUGGUUUAAGGCAGCACAAGUGAUGCAAAAAUAAGCAAAUGCAAGAUGAACACUACCCCAAAACUCUACGUAACACACUAAUAAUUAUUUUCUUAGGUUUGGUGAUUUAGUUAUGGCAGUCGAACUAUUUACGAAACUAUAUACAAAUAAGAUCAUUACAAUUAGAAGCUACAUAUAUAUAAUAUAUAUAUCUAUAAUAAUAAAAUUGCUCAGAAAGACUCUCCAUGCGUCCACGUCAUCCCUCCAUGCUCCAAAACUCGCGUCCACGUCAUCCUUCCAUGCUCCAAAACUCAACACGUGUCGCUGUUCCAUCGCUCUUUCUUUAUGUUUGAUUUUUUUGUCCUCUUUGUUUCGUUUGAUUUUAUUUGGGCCCAUGAUUAUACGAAAAUCUCGGCCCGAAUUAUCUCAUGCUCAAGCUACUGUUCGGCGCCGUAAACAUUCAGAUUUUCAUGGUUCCCAUUAAAAAUAAUUGUAACGUUUUCCCUUCUCUGUAACUCCACCAUUAAUUCAAUCAUUAAAACUACACUCCACUUUCCCUCACACUCCGUCUCAUUUAUUCAGUCUCAUCAUCGGCGCAGGUACCGGCUUGAAGCUCCACCAAUAAAUGAGUCUGUUUGAUGCGAUGAACAUCUCCGUCAGAUUUCUGAAAGAUUAAACUCUGUAACGCAACAGCUUCAACCUCAUCCUUGGCAAGAAGUCUCCGCUUAUCCAAGGGACCAUCAAUGCCAACCAAAACUCAGCGAUCAUUAACGUGUUGCAGUCAGGAGACUCAAGGCAUGGAGAAACAGAGAAGAUAUAGAUUUCGUUAUUGAAGUCGAGAUUCAUAAGAAAUUUUUGUGAAAAUUGUUGAUCAGAGACUGAGAGUAGAGAACGUGGAAGAAAAACUGAUAAGUUUUUCUUGGCGGGACUAAAAUAUGCUCAGAUGGAGCCGGAGAAGAGACCAACAAUGUCUGAAGUGGUGGAGAUGCUAAUGAAUAAAUUAAUGGAGAAAAUGUCGUCUGAACUUGAAGCCAAUUCUCUCUUCAAGAAUCCAUAUAGCAGAAAUUAAAACUGUAGAGAGCAUCAGGAGGUUGCAGAUGAAAGCUCAUACGUGAUCUCAGAAGAAAAGGAUCAUUAUUAAUAAGGUUUUUAGGCACAUGACAUUUGUUUUCUCAGAUUAGUUUUUAACAUCUUCUCUUAAUUAUAUUAACACAUGACAAAGCUACUCCAUUUCCAAAUUUCUACUAACACACUUCUCCACUGAAACUUCCAUUAAAAAGGUGUUAAAUGAAACUAUUUCACUUAGUUUGUGUAUGACAACUUUGUUUUGUACAUCCUUAGGAUUGCUUCAUCACAGUUUCUCUGACUUGGCCCAAGUCACCAAACCUUGACCGUAGAAAGAGCUACAGCAAAAUAGUAAACUCAUCAUAUCAUAAGGUGAAAGGGAAGCAUUGUUCUCAACAUUGGAACAGUGUAGAUGGUUGGAAGCAAGGAUCCAAAGCGAGUAAUAACCUGCGGAUUCCAAUAUAAAAAAUGAUCUCAAAGGAAACACCACCAAAGUCUGAAAAAAGUUUAUGGGAAAAAAAAGUGGUAAAUACAUUUAAAAGCAUUUUAUUAAUUUAUAAAAGGUCCUAAUAUAUCACAUAUUUUGUAUUACUGAAAAAAUUUGAAAAAAAUAAUAAUAAAAAUGAAUUUCACCACUAAAACGCCUUUAAUGUAUGUAUUCUAUCUAUUUCCUAAAGUGAUAUAUAUGUAGUCUUACACUACCAAAUUUAAUAGAACGAUUAGCAAAUUUUAACAUUUAAGGAACAGAUUUA